rnacentral:rRNA from 1 species
CCCUUAGACGUUCUGGGCCGCACGCGCGCUACACUGACCAGUGCAACAAGCAUCCGUCCUUGGCCGACAGGCCCGGGCAAUCUUUGAACGCUAGUCGUGAUGGGGAUAGACUUUUGCAAUUUUUGGUCUUCAACGAGGAAUUCCUAGUAAACGCAAGUCAUCAACUUGCAUUGAUUACGUCCCUGCCCUUUGUACACACCGCCCGUCGCACCUACCGAUUGAAUGGUCCGGUGAAGCCUCCGGAUUGGCGCGCACCUCGGUGCCGCCGAGAAGUUGGCUAAACCUUACCAUUUAGAGGAAGGUGAAGUCGUANCA